CCUAGCAUUUAGUGCACCUCGUGUUAUUAAUAUAUAUAUAUAUAUAUAUAUAUAUAUAUAUAUAUAUAAUAUGAGGCAGUAGCUGCCCCACUGCAAGGUUCUCUAAAGAAAGAAACGGGCGAAAAGAUUUAUAGAGUGUCUAGAAGGAACCCUGGGACACCAUAAAUUAGCGAAGCUGAACUGUAAUUGAACAAGCGCCACAGCAGGCGGGACAUUCGGGCCCUUCCGGUUUUUUGACUGAAGACAAAUUAGUCGGAGAUAGCAUCGGUGACUAGCUUCGAUGGAUUCACCCACUUACCUCGAGAAGUCUCUUAAAGUCCUGUACUCCCACGCUAUCUACAUCAACACCGAUGCCGUACUUUCAAGGUUACAUUACCAUGUUUGGCAGGUUCCUGCAGAGUGAAUAGCCCUACAUUCUGAUAGGAACAGACGUGCCUACGGUGAUAUGCAUCUUGCUCUUAGUAUUGUGCUAACAUGUUUAUUUUGAAAUAUUGUUGCGUUCUUCGUUUCGGCUUUACCACCAAAUGCAACCUGUCCCUCUGAGGAACCGCUGUUCCCCCUAAAGGAACCGAACGGGAAAUGAAGAAUGGUUCAUGGCAUGCGUCUCAUUGGCGAAACUGUAUCAUAAAUUCAAGUGAAAUGGCGAGUGGGCUUUAGCCACUUAACGGUAUUGCUUUUCCAGCGAAAACAAGAUGCCUCCUCUCGUUAUAAACUACAUUUAUCUAUCCGCCAUAAUCGAGUAAAUCGUGCAACCGUGACAUGGAAACAGUACUUUGGAGGAACGGCUUCUUAGUGCAUUUUUCCUUUAUCUCCCCAAAAAGUUUCUACUAACAGACUAAGAUGAUGACAAAGCUUGUAAUAAGGCGU